CGUACACUCCUACGGGAGGCAGCAGUGGGGAAUAUUACACAAUGGGCGCAAGCCUGAUGCAGCCAUGCCGCGUGUAUGAAGAAGGCCUUCGGGUUGUAAAGUACUUUCAGCGGGGAGGAAGGCAAUACGGUUAAUAACCGUGUUGAUUGACGUUACCCGCAGAAGAAGCACCGGCUAACUCCGUGCCAGCAGCCGCGGUAAUACGGAGGGUGCAAGCGUUAAUCGGAAUUACUGGGCGUAAAGCGCACGCAGGCGGUCUGUCAAGUCGGAUGUGAAAUCCCCGGGCUCAACCUGGGAACUGCAUUCGAAACUGGCAGGCUUGAGUCUUGUAGAGGGGGGUAGAAUUCCAGGUGUAGCGGUGAAAUGCGUAGAGAUCUGGAGGAAUACCGGUGGCGAAGGCGGCCCCCUGGACAAAGACUGACGCUCAGGUGCGAAAGCGUGGGGAGCAAACAGGAUUAGAAACCCGUGUAGUCCCAU
rnacentral:rRNA from 1 species